UACGUAGGGGGCAAGCGUUGUCCGGAAUCAUUGGGCGUAAAGCGCGUGUAGGCGGCUUGAUAAGUCUGCUCUGAAAGCCCGGGGCUCAACCCCGGGAGGCGGGUGGAUACUGUCAAGCUCGAGUCCGGAAGAGGAGUGUGGAAUUCCUGGUGUAGCGGUGAAAUGCGCAGAUAUCGAGAGGAACACCUGCGGCGAAGGCGGGUAGCUGGGCCGACACUGACGCUGAGGCGCGAAAGCCAGGGGAGCGAACGGG
rnacentral:rRNA from 1 species